UCAGAAGUGGGAUUCGAACCCACGCCCUCAGAGAGGACCAGAACAACUCGCACUCACGUUCAGUGAGCAAGGGAACCUUGAGUCUGGCGCCUUAGACCGCUCGGCCAUCCUGACAGUUGAGGCACGCGGCGAAAUAGCGGCUCCCUAUCCGAGUAAACUAAAAAAGUAUUUAUUUUUGUUUGGAAUAAUUCAUACCGGAGACAAUGAGAAUAAUAAAAUUGUGAGUUGACGAGUUGCGUAAUUAUAAAUAUGCGGAGUAAACUUUUUUGUAUACCUAGAUUAAAUAUGUAGUUUAUUGUUCAUUUAUGAAGUCAAUUAAUUGGAUAAUUUAACAUAAAAUAUGUAUCAUUAAGAGCCCCCGCACACUGGCCACUUAGUGGCGGCCACGCUUCAGCCACUAGUGGCCGCCACAACCUGCGGACGCGUUUCUUCAUACAUUUUAUAUAGAAUCGGCGCACACUGAGCGCUUGAGUGGCCGCGUCCGAGCCACAAGCUGCGAGAGUCGAGCGCGCUCGCUACUUGUGGCUGCGUUUUGUCGUUCGACUCGUGCGCAUACACGGCCACAGUUGCCGGCUUCUUCCCACCCCUGCGCGCCGCUCCCCAAUCCCGUCUCCCGGGUCUAGUCUUGUUGUAAGCUGCGUACUGAAUGCACGUGCAUGAUGUCCACGGAUCCGAUUCCUCAUUUUGAUGUAGACGCUUUUAUUUCCGAUGUCGAAGAGCGACCCGCUAUUUGGGAUUUAAAGUCAGAUUUGUAUAGCGACAGGGGUAAGAAAACUGAAGCUUGGGAGGAAUUGUGCCUAAAAUUUAUUCCAAAUUUUAGUGAAAAAAAUGUAGCGGAAAAAAACAAAGCAGCAUCCCAGUUGCAGCGAAAAUGGAAAAGCCUUCGUGACUGUUUCAAAAGAGAACACUCUAAACAAAUGAGCGUUAAAAGUGGAUCUGCAUCAUCGAGUCGCAAGCCGUAUAUAUAUUAUCAACAACUAUCUUUUUUAAAAAACUUGGCUGACACACGACGUGAUCCCAGCCCAUUACCGAACGAGGUACACGAUGCGACUGAGAGAAAAGGCCAAAAAGAACAAGACAAAUAAUGAAGACAUUCAAGCAGAAACUGAUAUACUUGUUAGUAUUUCAGAACAAUUACAAUCUCGUCAUUCUAACAAGCAUGAAGAAGACGCUGACCAUAACUUUGCUUUGUCCUUGGUCCCGCACUUUAAACAAAUACCCAAUGAAUUUAAAUUGGAUGCUCAAACCGAUGUAUUGAUGGUACUAAAAAAAUAUAAACAGUAUAUGCGAACAUCACAGAAUCAACAACAUGGAUAUUUCACAUCAUCAUUUCAGGAACCACGCUCAUACCAUACUAUGCAACCAUCUACUUCGGGUUAUCAACCGACUCCGCGUCCAUCUGCUUUGGGAUAUCAAUCGGCUUCGCGUCCACCUUCUAUGGGAUAUCAAUCAAAUUUUGAGCAUGACUUUUCCGUUAGCUCGCCAUCUGCAUCUGAUAAUACUAUGAAUUCUGUUUUGUCAGAUGAUAUAAAUGAACAUCUUUUUGACAACUGACUAUGUAAAAGUAAAUGUGUAUUUGUUAUAAAAACUGUAUAUCUGCGAUAUGUAACUUGAUUUAGUUUGCGAUUUUUCAAUUCUCAUUAAUAAAUAAUUUCUAUUUCAA